GGGGCUCUAGCUCAGAUGGCAGAGCAACGGUCAGCGAGGGCGCCCUUUAGCUGACUGUGUCGGUAGGUUCGAGUCCACCGGGCCCCA
rnacentral:tRNA from 1 species